GGAUUCUUUUUGUUUUACGGGUGGCACGACAGGCUGUGUUUAACGGAGAGAUCGAUACGGACGAGCAGUUGAAGAAGUACGUGUUCCCCAGACGGACGGACAGAGAGUUACAUUAGAGAGACAGACAAGGUUAUAGAAUAGUUGUUUAAGAUUGUAAAGACUGAAGAUUUAAGAUUUAAAGACUGGAGAAGAAAAAUCGGUAGCUCAGGACGUUCAGACUUCAGAAUCGAUCCCUGAAUUAUCCCAUUAUUCAACCAUAUAAAUCGAUUUUCGCCACGUCAUGCCACUGAGAGUUAACCUACGCGUCGUCAUGACCGAGAACGCGAAAGGGGAGAAGAUAGAGAGUAUAAAAUAUACAGACAACAAAUGACCUAAUAGGAGUAUAUUUAAAUAUAUUAUGCAAACGUUGGACAACGUUAUGUUUUGUUAAUCUAACAGGAUACAUUAAAAGUACAUUAUCAAGAAAGGGGAUGUGGCCCGUAAGCAAGUAUGUUCUUCUCGAUAUGACCAUCAGACAGUACCUGUGAUGCGGUUAUCCCGGAAGUACAUUGCGGAGUCGGUAGAGAGCGUUUCCUGACCUCUCGCCAGGGAGACAAUAGAUGAGGAUUUAAGGGUGUCGAAUCGGGAUCCAUGCAACGCGGAGGCGACUCGUUCCUUCGCCCUUCCUCUUCCUCUUCGCCCGAUGUGCUUUCCUCUAUGACGGUUUGAAGCUCGCCAUAGUUUGCCUUCACAUUCACAUUCGGGCUUCUCAUCUUGAUUUAGGCAAAUUCUCACUUGAACAUAAAUAAAACGUUUCUUCGUUGAAACCGUAUCAUAGUGGAGAACGAUCGAACAGUACAAAAGAAUGAAUAAAAAUAAGUCACAUUUUUAUUAAUUUUCUUUUGUAUCUAAAAACAAAUCUGAUAGAUUCAAAGAUACAAGAUCUUCCGAUCUUCCUUUAUUGCACGGACGAGCAGUUGAAGAAGCACUUGUUCCCCAGACGGAUGGACAGAGAGUUACAUUCCAGAGACAGACAAGGUUAUAGAAUAGCUGUUUGAGAUUGUGAAGACUGAAGAUUUAAGAUUUAAAGACUGGAGAAGAAAAAUCGGUAGCUCAGGACAUUCAGACUUCAGAAUCGAUCCCUGAAUUAUCGCAUUAU